rfam:Pelodiscus sinensis unplaced genomic scaffold scaffold23, whole genome shotgun sequence.
UGCGAAAAUGACGAUAGGGGCUUUUUUGCGGAAAAGCGCGUCUACAUUGGCACAGAUGCUUUUCUGGAAAAAGUGCUUUUCCGGAAAAGCACUUUUUCCAGAAAAGCAUCUGUGCCAAUGUAGACGCGCUUUUUCUGGAAAUACUUAUAACGGAAAACUGUGCCAUUUUAAGCA